rnacentral:rRNA from 1 species
UACGUAGGGGGCAAGCGUUGUCCGGAAUCAUUGGGCGUAAAGCGCGUGUAGGCGGUUCGAUAAGUCUGCUGUGAAAGUCCAGGGCUCAACCCUGGGAUGCCGGUGGAUACUGUCGAGCUAGAGUACGGAAGAGGCGAGUGGAAUUCCCGGUGUAGCGGUGAAAUGCGCAGAUAUCGGGAGGAACGCCAAUUGCGAAGGCAGCUCGCUGGGACGUCACUGACGCUGAGACGCGAAAGCGUGGGGAGCAAACAGG